GCGGGCAUAGCUCACCAGGUAGAGCGUCAGCUUCCCAAGCUGAAGGUAGCGGGUUCGAGCCCCGUUGCCCGCU
rfam:Flexistipes sinusarabici DSM 4947, complete genome.